GAACGAAUUGAUAAACCUGUAUCUAAUACGGUUUCAAAUGUCGAGCGUAAUAAAAUUUAAGGAUGCCCAUCGGAAACUGUUCCAAUCCGAAGAACUUCAAAGGAAGAGUUGAUAAACGCAAAAUAUCUCAACAAUUGGAUAAAGCCUCGACAUUAUGUGUCAGCUAAAACUUUUGCCGAGAAAGCGUACUAUGGAGGUAAAGCUUCAAUCACAUAUGUAAAUCCAAGAGUAGACCUGGACCAGUUUAGCACUGUUCAAAUUUGGAUACAAAAUGGUCCAACUAAAGAACUGAAUAGUAUAGAAUUUGGAUGAGUUGUAUACCCUCAGUUAUUUGGUGACAAUCUUACUCGAGUUUUUGGUUUGUGGACGGCUGAUGGAUUUAAAAAUACAGGAUGCUAUAACAUGUUUUGCCCAGGAUUUGUGCAAGUCCACCCUGAUUACACUUUUGGAGAAUAUAUUAAAGCAGAACCAUAUGGCGAGAAACCCACUUGGUUUGAUUUUUCAGUGUAUCGAGACCUAGAAAGUGGCAACUGGUGGUUUAAUGGCUUUGAAAACACAGAGAUCGGAUACUGGCCGAAAGAUAUCUUUACCCAUUUAGAAAAAUAAUGCAUCUACAGUUAGAUUUGGAGGGGUUGCUGGAGGAGAUCCUGGUAAGCCCACUCCGCCUAUGGGACAUGGAUAUUUACCAGAUUA